rnacentral:rRNA from 1 species
UGGGGAAUAUUGCACAAUGGGCGAAAGCCUGAUGCAGCAACGCCGCGUGAGUGAUGAAGGCCUUCGGGUUGUAAAGCUCUGUCUUUUGGGACGAUAAUGACGGUACCAAAGGAGGAAGCCACGGCUAACUACGUGCCAGCAGCCGCGGUAAUACGUAGGUGGCAAGCGUUGUCCGGAUUUACUGGGCGUAAAGGAUGCGUAGGCGGAUUUUUAAGUGAGAUGUGAAAUACCCGGGCUUAACUUGGGUGCUGCAUUUCAAACUGGGAAUCUAGAGUGCGGGAGAGGAGAAUGGAAUUCCUAGGGUGUAGCGGUGAAAUGCGUAGAAGAUUAGGAAGAACACCAGUGGCGAAGGCCGAUU